GCAUAUCAAUAAGCGGAGGAAAAGAAACCAACAGGGAUUGCCCCAGUAACGGCGAGUGAAGCGGCAACAGCUCAAAUUUGAAAUCUGGCUUCGGCCCGAGUUGUAAUUUGUAGAGGAUGAUUUUGGUGAGGUGCCUUCUGAGUUCCCUGGAACGGGACGCCAGAGAGGGUGAGAGCCCCGUAUAGUCGGCCACCGAUCCUCUGUAAAUCUCCUUCGACGAGUCGAGUAGUUUGGGAAUGCUGCUCAAAAUGGGAGGUAUAUCUCUUCUAAAGCUAAAUAUAGGCCAGAGACCGAUAGCGCACAAGUAGAGUGAUCGAAAGAUGAAAAGCACUUUGAAAAGAGGGUUAAAUAGCACGUGAAAUUGUUGAAAGGGAAGCGCUUGUGACCAGACUUGUGCCGGGCUGAUCAUCCAGUGUUCUCACUGGUGCACUCGACCCGGCUCAGGCCAGCGUCGGUUCUCGUGGGGGGACAAAAGCUUCGGGAACGUGGCACCUCCGGGUGUGUUAUAGCCCGCUGCUUAAUACCCUCGUGGGGACCGAGGUUCGCGCUCUGCAAGGACGCUGGCAUAAUGGUCAUCAGCGACCCGUCUUGAAACACGGACC
rnacentral:rRNA from 1 species